rnacentral:rRNA from 1 species
GACGAACGCUGGCGGCGUGCCUAAUACAUGCAAGUCGAGCGAGACUCUUCGGAGUCUAGCGGCGGACGGGUGAGUAACACGUGGGCAACCUGCCUGUAAGACUGGGAUAACACCGGGAAACCAGUGCUAAUACCGGAUAAUCCUUUUCCUCUCAUGAGGAAAAGCUGAAAGUCGGUUUCGGCUGACACUUACAGAUGGGCCCGGGGCGCAUAAGCUAGUUGGUGAGGUAACGGCUCACCAAGGCGACGCUGCGUAGCCGACCUGAGAGGACGGUCGGCCACACUGGGACUGAGACACGGCCCAGACUCCUACGGGAGGUAGCAGUAGGGAAUCUUCCACAAUGGACGAAAGUCUGAUGGAGCACCGCCGCGUGAGCGAUGAAGGCCUUCGGGUCGUAAAGCUCUGUUGUUAGGGAAGAACAAGUACCGGAGUAACUGCCGGUACCUUGACGGUACCUAACCAGAAAGCCACGGCUAACUACGUGCCAGCCGCCGCAGUAAAAC